rnacentral:piRNA from 1 species
UAGCAAACAUUAUUGUGCAUUGGCCACAAC